rnacentral:rRNA from 1 species
GAUCAUGGCUCAGAACGAACGCUGGCGGCGCGUUUAAGCAUGCAAGUCGAGCGGCAAGGGCCGUCGGCCCUACGAGCGGCGGACGGGUGAGUAACACGUGGACAAUCUGCCCCCCGGCCCCGGGACGUAGCCCAGGAACCUGGAUUAAUACCGGAUGAGACGGGACCCGCGAUGGCGGGAUCCGGGAAAGGCGCUGCGGCGCCGCCGGGGGAUGAGUCUGCGUCCCAUUAGCUAGACGGCGGGGUAACGGCCCACCGUGGCGACGAUGGGUAGCCGGCCUGAGAGGGUGGACGGCCACAUUGGAACUGAGACACGGUCCAGACUCCUACGGGAGGCAGCAGCUAAGAAUCUUCCGCAAUGGGCGAAAGCCUGACGGAGCCGACGCCGCGUGAACGAAGAAGGCCGUGAGGUUGUAAAGUUCUUUUCGGGAGGGGGAACAACCGUGGCAGGGAAUGGCCGCGGGAUGACGUGAAUCCCGGAAUAAGCCCCGGCUAACUACGUGCCAGCCGCGGC